rnacentral:rRNA from 1 species
UACAGAGGUCUCAAGCGUUGUUCGGAUUCAUUGGGCGUAAAGGGUGCGUAGGCGGCGCGGUAAGUCGGGUGUGAAAUCUUGGAGCUUAACUCCGAAACUGCAUUCGAUACUGCCGUGCUUGAGGACUGGAGAGGAGACUGGAAUUUCCGGUGUAGCGGUGAAAUGCGUAGAUAUCGGAAGGAACACCAGUGGCGAAGGCGACUUCCUGGCCCGUUACUAACACUGAGGCGCGAAAGCGUGGGGAGCGAACAGG